GAUGAAGAACGUAGCGAAAUGCGAUAAGUAAUGUGAAUUGCAGAAUUCAGUGAAUCAUCGAAUCUUUGAACGCACAUUGCGCCCGCCAGUAUUCUGGCGGGCAUGCCUGUUCGAGCGUCAUUACAACCCUCAGGCCCCCGGGCCUGGCGUUGGGGAUCGGCGGAGCCCCCCGUGGGCACACGCCGUCCCCCAAAUGCAGUGGCGGUCCCGCCGCAGCUUCCAUCGCGUAGUAGCUAACACCUCGCGACUGGAGAGCGGCGCGGCCACGCCGUAAAACACCCAACUCUUCUGAAGUUGACCUCGAAUCAGGUAGGAAUACCCGCUGAACUUAAGCAUAUCAAUAAGCUGAGGA
rnacentral:misc_RNA from 1 species